CCUACUGGCUAACUACUGCUGUAUUCAUUGGUUAGAUUAGCAAAGGAAAAUGUUCGAAAGGACCAUUUUAAAUUGUCAACCAUGAAAUUACCUGUUACCCAAAUAUUUUGAUUCCUUUGGCAGAAGAGUAGUAUAUAAAUAUGAAAGUUUCUGCCACGCUCACCAUGAGACUCUACUACUCUGUCUCCAAAUAUCUUUAUUCAUAAACACUUAAGUACAGCAGUGGUUCCCAAAGUGUGGUCCCUGGAUGGACUGUCAACAUCAGAUCCCCUGGGAAAUUGUUAGGAAUGCAGAUUCACCAACUCACUCCAGACCCAUGGAAUCAGAAAUUCAAAGAACCUGUGUUUCUAACAAGCCUAUAGGUGGUUCUGAUGCGUCUUAAAAUUUGAGAAACACAGUACAGUAUUCUGACAGCAUAAAGUUGCACACCCUUAGCCAUUGAAGACCAUCAUCCUAAAUUAUGCUGAACAUGCAGUUUUGCAAUAGACAGCCAUAGAGUAA
rnacentral:lncRNA from 10 species